UGGGGAAUAUUGGACAAUGGGCGAAAGCCUGAUCCAGCCAUGCCGCGUGUGUGAAGAAGGUCUUCGGAUUGUAAAGCACUUUAAGUUGGGAGGAAGGGCAUUAACCUAAUACGUUAGUGUUUUGACGUUACCGACAGAAUAAGCACCGGCUAACUCUGUGCCAGCAGCCGCGGUAAUACAGAGGGUGCAAGCGUUAAUCGGAAUUACUGGGCGUAAAGCGCGCGUAGGUGGUUUGUUAAGUUGGAUGUGAAAUCCCCGGGCUCAACCUGGGAACUGCAUUCAAAACUGACUGACUAGAGUAUGGUAGAGGGUGGUGGAAUUUCCUGUGUAGCGGUGAAAUGCGUAGAUAUAGGAAGGAACACCAGUGGCGAAGGCGACCACCUCGACUGAGAUUGACACUGAGGUGCGAAAGCGUGGGGAGCAAACA
rnacentral:rRNA from 1 species